UUUUUUAAGUGGUAGGGAAACUCUAACCUUUGUAUUUAGACUGUAAACUGAGUUGAACAGUUUUCCUGACUGGUUCUUUAUUACAACUGUAUUACAACUACUGAGCUCGCGCUCAUACGACAUAAUAGUGUGAUGAAUCACAAGAGGCUAAGGGCCUCAAUGUACUAUUUAAUAACAAAUUUACUUAACAGUAGUAGCCCAUUGAUGGGUUUUUCAAUAAAUUGUAAACUACUUUAGUUAUACUUACUAUUAGAAGCAAGUUCAUCUUUCAGAAACAACAACUUCUGAUCCCAUUCUGUGACAUUUUUGGGAGGCUGUUUCAGUGGUGCAAAUGCCCUAACACAUAUAUUGAGUAAUACCACAUUAGCAAAACUACAACAAUGAUUAUUGGGGUUCCUGUGCAAUCAAGCCAUCUCUUUGUCACAGGGAAUAAUGGAUUCUAUACAAWGUGUYGUACCAUUUAACCACAAUGAAAUACAGUGUUAUUACUUGUUGUAAGCAAUACAUUUGGUUGUCUGAACAACAGCUAUUACAGCUCCAUAAUGGGUAAAAUGAUUUCAAAGUAAUGAUAUCACUCUACCCACCCUAUCAGUAGGAGAACACUUGCAACAAUUAGGAAUCCAAUGGAAUACUUUACUGCACUGCACAUUCUCUAUAAAAACAUAAUAAAUAGAGCGGAUUUCGUAUGAGUGGGACACCAUUACCGCACGGUUACCACACAAUUACCGCACCUGGCCUGCAGAAUUUUGGUGAAACAAUGGGGCACUAGAAUUUGGUUACAGUACGAUCACGGACACAGCACAGUACCGUCCGUUUCCCACUCAUACAAAAUCUGCUCUAUACACAUUGUGACCUCUUUGUUUAAUAUCUCGUUAUUUCUGCUUUUUACUCUUUGGGUUUCCUGCCUUCCUCUUACAGGUUAGCCUCUAUCACAGGCAUUCUUAGUCUCACCACAAAAAUUCACUCGCCACAAAUGUUAAUGGAAACAUGGUUAGAAAGCCUACCUCUCUUGUAGUGACAUCAUCAUCUUUCUCCUCAAAGUAGAAAUACAUGAAGGGAAUGAUCAAGAAUAUCAAGGAUGCCAAAAGACCAUAGAGAACUACAGAGAGACAAUACAUUAUUAUGUACAAUAAAUACACAUUCAUUACAA